rnacentral:rRNA from 1 species
CCUACGGGAGGCAGCAGUAGGGAAUUUUCGGCAAUGGGGGGAACCCUGACCGAGCAACGCCGCGUGAACGAAGAAGUUAUUCGUAAUGUAAAGUUCUUUUAACAGGGAAGAAAGAGAAAUUUGACGGUACCUGAAGAAUAAGCUCCGGCUAACUACGUGCCAGCAGCCGCGGUAAUACGUAGGGAGCGAGCGGUAUCCGGAAUUAUGGGGCGAAAAGGGUGCGUAGAUGGCAUAGUAAGUCUUUUGUAAAAAUGCUGGGCUCAACCCAGUAGGGCAAAAGAUACUGGAAAGAUAGAGUAUGACAGAGGCAAGUGGAACUACAUGUGUAGCGGUAAAAUGCGUAAAUAGAUGUAAGAACACCAGUGGCGAAGGCGGCUUGCUGGGUCGAUACUGACAUUGAGGCACGAAAGCGUGGGGAGCAAACAGGAUUAGAUACCCUAGUAGUC